rnacentral:rRNA from 1 species
GACGAACGCUGGCGGCGUGCCUAAUACAUGCAAGUAGAACGCACAGUUUAUACCGUAGCUUGCUACACCAUAAACUGUGAGUUGCGAACGGGUGAGUAACGCGUAGGUAACCUGCCUGGUAGCGGGGGAUAACUAUUGGAAACGAUAGCUAAUACCGCAUAAUAUUGAUUAUUGCAUGAUAAUUGAUUGAAAGAUGCUAUUGCAUCACUACCAGAUGGACCUGCGUUGUAUUAGCUAGUAGGUGAGGUAACGGCUCACCUAGGCGACGAUACAUAGCCGACCUGAGAGGGUGAUCGGCCACACUGGGACUGAGACACGGCCCAGACUCCUACGGGAGGCAGCAGUAGGGAAUCUUCGGCAAUGGACGAAAGUCUGACCGAGCAACGCCGCGUAAGUGAAGAAGGUUUUCGGAUCGUAAAGCUCUGUUGUAAGAGAAGAACGGGUGUGAGAGUGGAAAGUUCACACUGUGACGGUAUCUUACCAGAAAGGGACGGCUAACUACGUG